rnacentral:rRNA from 1 species
UACGUAGGUGGCGAGCGUUGUCCGGAUUUACUGGGCGUAAAGAGCGCGCAGGCGGUCGUGUAAGUCGAAUGUGAAAGCCCCUGGCUCAACUAGGGAGAGUCAUUCGAUACUGUUCGACUCGAAGGCAGGAGAGGGAAGUGGAAUUCCGGGUGUAGUGGUGAAAUGCGUAGAGAUCGGGGGGAACACCCGUGGCGAAGGCGGCCAGCUGGGCCGACCCUGACACUGAGGCGCGAAGGCGUGGGGAGCGAACGGG